rnacentral:rRNA from 2 species
UGGAGAGUUUGAUCCUGGCUCAGGACGAACGCUGGCGGCGUGCUUAACACAUGCAAGUCGAACGAUGAACCACUUCGGUGGGGAUUAGUGGCGAACGGGUGAGUAACACGUGGGCAAUCUGCCCUGCACUCUGGGACAAGCCCUGGAAACGGGGUCUAAUACCGGAUACUGAUCCUCGCAGGCAUCUGCGAGGUUCGAAAGCUCCGGCGGUGCAGGAUGAGCCCGCGGCCUAUCAGCUAGUUGGUGAGGUAACGGCUCACCAAGGCGACGACGGGUAGCCGGCCUGAGAGGGCGACCGGCCACACUGGGACUGAGACACGGCCCAGACUCCUACGGGAGGCAGCAGUGGGGAAUAUUGCACAAUGGGCGAAAGCCUGAUGCAGCGACGCCGCGUGAGGGAUGACGGCCUUCGGGUUGUAAACCUCUUUCAGCAGGGAAGAAGCGAAAGUGACGGUACCUGCAGAAGAAGCGCCGGCUAACUACGUGCCAGCAGCCGCGGUA